GUCAUGCUCUAAUACCGGAUCACAGCGUUCGAAAACCUUCUUUCCGCGCAAAUCCUUCGAUAAAAAAUUCGGGCAUCUUCAUAACUGGGAAUGCGGAACCAAGUUUCCCUCUAAACCCCCCACCUUCGAACGGCUCCGAAACCCUAGUCCCGGCUCCGGACGUCGCGAAUUCAUUCGAAGCCCGCUCUCAUUCUCGCCGGAAUCCAUGGAUUCGAGAGAGGAGGGGAAGGAGCUCCGGAGCGCCGGUGAGCUCGACGACGAGACGAUCGCGAAGAAGCGCUCUCGCCGGGUGAGCUUCGCCGAGACCACCGCCGUCCACGUUUUCGACCGCGACGAGGACUUCGAGACCCCGCCGGACUCAAAGCCGGCCUCGACCGACAGCCCCGGGCCUGCCGGAGGGGUGGUAGGGUUCCAAGGAGACCAGUCAGAUAGUGAUGAUUCCAAGGGUUUCGCCCACGAGGAACGGGAGGACGACGAGGACGAGGACGAGGACGGAGAGCAGGAGCGGUUUGUGAGGGACAUGGAUUCCUCGUCACCUGGAAGCGCCGUUGGAUCGGUGACUUCAAAUGAUGAUGAUAACUUUUUUGGGCCCGUAUCAACGAGUUUUAUUAGAUCGGGGAGACUCUCUGAAGCUGGAAUAUCAGAUGAUGAAAAUCAUGAUGUUACCCUGGAUUCCACAACAUUUUCGUUGCAUUUCCGUAAUCUUGCUCCCCCAGAUGACCGCACCACGAACUCAGCAGGAAGCAUCAGGACACCAACAGGAGAUACAGUACCUGCUGACAGUGGGAACCACAUGGUCCCUGCAAGAUCUAAGAAGCUGUUGUCUCACAGCAAGCUUUCUGAUGGGAAGCUGAGUGGCAGUGGGGGUGGCUCAAGUAACAUGAGUCUGAUAGUGAAUGACACUCAUAGAUAUGAUUAUGCAAAAUUAUCACCCACAUCAGAAGCGCUGCUGAGUGAAGUAAACAAGUGCAUGCAGUCCAAUUCUCCAAAUGGUGACAGUAGAAUCAUGACGUCUGAUGAACAUAUAGGUGUAGUUCCAGUUGCAAAAGAAUCUGAAAAGGAUGAAGGACAUGUCAGUAAUGUAGCUGCACUGGAUGAUGUGCCUGAUGAUCAACUUGUUGGUCCAUAUCUUUCAAAAGAUGUUUCAAUGGGUGCUGUCACUGAACAAGCGGAUAGCGAGCAUCUCUCUCCUAUUAUGAAAACAGAUCUACCUGUGGAUAAAUCAAUCAAUGAAAAGACAAAGGGAACGGUUUCUCCCAUAGCUAAGGGCUUUUGCAGAGAUGUUCAUGAGGCAAUUCAGUCUGAUACAGUGGAAGCCACUGCUCAAAAUUCUGACAUGCUCUCACCUCCAUAUAGAGGGUCCAGGAGCAAGUUCAUUUUGCAAUCUGCUCAUGUACACCAAGCACUUUUUAAAGAUCAACUAAGUGGGAGCCAAUACUUUUCCAAUUCUUCCCCUCUAUCUGCCAGAGAAGUUCUGGUUCCUGCAUUGAUGAUCACAGAUGGUCAACAACAAGAACAACAACUUGAAUCUGAUUGUGGAAUGCGUACUCCAAAAAAUGCUGUUCAACCCUUUGAGUCUCCAUCACAAGGGUCUGUAUCCUCUUUACGUGCCAAGCGGCAGCGGCUUUUUCUUGAUUCUGCUGUUUGUUCUGUGGGUAAAUUGACAGAUAGUUCUGCUAGAGAACAACCUCCUUCCUCUUUGGAGCUGCAACUUGUAAAACAUAGUGAGAGAAUUUCAGCUAUUAAAAAUCGCAUGUCAAAAUUCACAAUUCCUGAGACACCAAUAUUUAGGAAUCCCAGAGUAGCAACACCAAGAAAGGAUCAUUUGCCACUUGAGCCGGAUGGUACAUUGGAAAGGAUGAGUAAUAAUCCCAGCACGAAACUUGUGUGUCUCCCUGUUAUGAACAUGGAAGAGAACUUUACGAGUUCUGUUCGAAGGAACAGAGUACAGGGAAUGAGUGUUGAAUUAAAUCAUCCAUGGAAUGACAUUAGGGAAUGGACACACAGUGAGAAAAAUGAAGCAUCUGGUGAAACUAUAAAACCAAAUGAAGCUGCAUCUUCAUCUAACCCAGAAACAAAAAUCAACCAGAGUCCAUUGAUCUCUCAAUGCUUCACUGAAGAGGUCUCUAUCCUUGGUGAACAUGGUUCAUCUCCAAGGCAGACUAUGAUUAAACUCAAGGAAAAUAGUCUGGUUUCUGAUAGUGUACACAAAGUCGACCAUCAGGAUUUCUGUGCUGUUCAAGAAUCAACUUCUGUUCAAGAUCUUGAUCUGUUUGGAAAGAAAAGAAGAAGUGAACAAAAUCUUAUCAUGGAUGAAGACCGUGCCAGUAAAACAAGCAAAACAGAAAAGAGUCCAGACGUUUCACCUGAAGUUGCAGUCAGUGGAUCUGGAUUUUCAUUGGGAAGUCAGGGGGGAUGCAACAACGAAGCUCAUGAUUUUGGAGGCCAAUCACCAGUGACACAUUGGACUAAUAUGUUCGCCAAAAUAUCUGAGGCAACAAAACUAGCAUUUUCACCAUCCAUGCAUAAGCUUAGUUUGCAAGAGCUUCACAUUUUGGAAGACAUGUUGGCUGAGUUGCAAAUGGCUAGAAAGUAUGAGAGGCUUUCAGCUUCCCUGAGAAAUCAUGAUCGCUUGGGUGACUUACAUCAUCAGAGAGUAGCUGAAGUGAGAUCAUUGCAAGACAAGCUUUUAUAUGAGCAGGCAAAACUACAGAUAAGACGUGUCAAGCUAGAUCAAUUACAUAAUAAAGCACAGCUAACUCAGUCAGGAAUCCGGGAAUGUUGUAAUCUAAAAUUAAUGUUUUCACAGCUUUCUCUUCCAAGUACAAGAGCUUCUAAAACUAAGGAGGACCAUCUUCACUCAGUUUCAUCCAUUUCUAGUAGUAAAAAUCAGGGGCAACACGACAGAGUGAUAUCAAUGAGACAGGAAGUCAAAAUGCUGGAGCAAAAAGUGGAGCACUUGAUGAAAUCUCUUGGUGCUUGUUGCAAGAUAAAAGGGAAUUUGAACUGUGAUGAGAUUAUUAAAGCUGCCAAUGAACAUUUAGAAAAGAGAAAAAGCUGUAGGAUCAUUCACCAAGAUUUGCGGCUAUGGGAGUUGAGCAACAUAGUGAAAAGUAAUGAUCAACAUGACAUUGUUCUCAACUAUUGCAAUUUACUCUUCCAGAGGUUUACAGUAAAUGGCAGCCAAACUUCAAGUAUAGCUGCCAAAAUCUCAUUAAAUGAUUCAAACAUCGAAAAGACUUUCCCAAACAUGAAUGCUUGUGCAGCCUUUGAGUUUGUUUUCAAAGCCAAGGAUGAUCACAGACUUUCUGGUUCAAAAUGUCUUCAGCAAAAGACACUGGAAACCAGCUUGCUUCUGGGUACCCUAGUUGAUGUGCUUGAAGAAGUUCAAGUUACAAGAAUGGAAUUGUUAAAUUUGACGCACUCGACCUUCCAUUCUCAUCCCUCGGGCCAACUUGAGUUGCAGCUCUGUUUUAUGAAUCUCAGGAGGGGGUGGAAAGUUACAUUGAUUCUCGACAUGACCAAUCUAAAUUGUGCUGUCUAUCCCUCUGAGCCAUCUGAGCUGCAGUUCAAGAUAUCUGGGACACACACAACACUGCCACUGUCAGUCUCAAAUGAAAUAUUUUCUGCACUUCAGAGCCUUCAAGGUGGACAUUUAAUGAUUGCAAGGUUCUGCCGGUUGAUAUCCCAGGCAGUUCGGGCUUUUUCAGAUCCAUACUGUAGGAAGUCUGCCUCAUUGAGCAUCCCUCUAUUUUGCUGACUGCAUAUGUUCAUGGAGUAGAUGCCUCUGUCGGUUGUGCACUCUGACUUUAGGGGGUUAAAUGUGCAUGCGUGAAUUAUACUCACCAAUGUUCUCUCCUAUGCAUCUCCAUGUAAUCUAAGUUCCUGCAGAAGUGAGAGAAACUCAGAGCAAGAAUGUCCUGGUUUACCUCGUGUUCCUGGACUUCAGAAGCCUAUCUUGUUACUGUUGCUUUCUAUGUUCUGGCAUGCGUCAAGUGGUGCACACCUUAGCUUGCAAUCCAGGACCUCUCAUUAGUUACCUCACAGACUUGUUAAAACUAAUUAACGGGUGAAUAUAUGGUAUAUUUUUUUGUAAAUUUAGGUACAGUUUCCAUUUUAUCUAAUGGCUGCUGUAUCUGAGAAAACCUCUCUACCAAUUGAGAACCUUGGAUGAAAGAGAAACUAUGCAGCGUCAUGCACGAA